GCCUGGGUGGCUCAGUCGGUUGAGCGUCUGACUUCGGCUCAGGUCAUGAUCUCACAGCUCGUGAGUUCGAGCCCCGCGUCAAGCU
rnacentral:tRNA from 1 species